UUGUUGAUAGCCCCUGCUGUCCCAGUUGCGUUACGUGCCAUGCUAUGACCAAUUUCUGGUCAGACACUCACGGUCCCACCAUCCUAAUCAAAUAUGCAUCUGCCCCAAGAAAUUGCGCAGUACAUGACAUGCUUUGCCUUCUAAAUUUGGUCAUAGUUUUGACAGUGCCCUCCGUGGAUACUAUUGCGCUUUCUUUCACUGCCUCCUUCCAAGUGAUCUGCUUCCAUUCAUUCUCUAACUACAAUCUUCACCAUCCGCUAGUAGUUGAUGAAGCUGCCAUCAGUGUGACAGAUUUUGCCUACGACUAACGGUUUUCAUCUGCUCUAGUAAGGAAUGGCAUUUGGACAAAGCCUGUCUUUAAUUUCUUCCAUGGAACACAAAGCUUUUAUCUUCCCUUCAUUGAUCAGGUAGUCCUUGCAUGUGUGCCAUCUUGUAUUUAAUUUCAUUGAAUGUUGGAUUCAUUUUCGGAGAUCACCUUUGCAUCAAAAUGAGGGAACUGAGCACUAAUAAAACAAUUUGGAAUGUGCAUUUCUUCAUAGAGCUUUUCAGUGUAGAGGAGAGAAACUAAUAAGAGAAAUGGGCUUAAAGGCCUGCCACUUGUUCUACAUUGCUUUUUUUUUUUUUUUUUUCCU